UCUCCAUGGCUUCCUCUUUGUUCUUUCCUUGGUUUAGAACGGACGAUGGGGUUUAGAUUCCCUCAUACAAUACUCAAAUCGUUAACACAAGAUUAGGAGAGCAUCGAACUUCGUCAGCGAGGAUUCUGAUCAAAUUUUAGCAGGGGUUUUGAAUAUGUUUUGAUGACUGCCCUUAAAGGUGCAACUUUCCAACAACUUAUAAUUAGAUGAUGAAGAAUGAUAAGUGUCAAAAGCUCUAUCAGGUACCACUAUUGCAGAAUUUGCAUGCAUCCUAUUCAAGCGUUUGUUACUCUAUGUCAGGAUUAAUCGGAGACUACUGAAGAGCAGCACGUAGUUAUCAGGAUAACAAGACUCAAGCCAAAUCGACCAUUUAUAUGCUCUAUUAACCAAAAAGAUUUACAAGCAUCAACCAGCUGAUGGAUAAUCACUGUAGACUAAUAGGUUUUGUCGUCAUUUUUACCACAUAAUGAUGAGGUAUUGAUUUAUAUGGUUUGAUGUAUGUACAUGUCAAGUUUGUGGUGUUCAUACAACAUAUCAAAACGAUUUGUUGACGUUUUCUAAAAAAGAGGAGAGUAUGAGUUCAUUUUUAUAUGU
rnacentral:lncRNA from 1 species